AUUGAACGCUGGCGGCAUGCCUUACACAUGCAAGUCGAACGGUAACAGGUCUUCGGAUGCUGACGAGUGGCGAACGGGUGAGUAAUACAUCGGAACGUGCCCGAUCGUGGGGGAUAACGGAGCGAAAGCUUUGCUAAUACCGCAUACGAUCUACGGAUGAAAGCAGGGGACCGCAAGGCCUUGCGCGGACGGAGCGGCCGAUGGCAGAUUAGGUAGUUGGUGGGAUAAAAGCUUACCAAGCCGACGAUCUGUAGCUGGUCUGAGAGGACGACCAGCCACACUGGGACUGAGACACGGCCCAGAGUGCUACGGGAGGCACCAGUGGGGAAUUUUGGACAAUGGGCGCAAGCCUGAUCCAGCCAUGCGGCGUGCAGGAUGAAGGCCUUCGGGUUGUAAACUGCUUUUGUACGGAACGAAAAGACUCUGGUUAAUACCUGGGGUCCAUGACGGUACCGUAAGAAUAAGCACCGGCUAACUACGUGCCAGCCGCCGCAGUAAUAC
rnacentral:rRNA from 1 species